GUGCCAGCAGCCGCGGUAAUACGGAAGGUCCGGGCGUUAUCCGGAUUUAUUGGGUUUAAAGGGAGCGCAGGCGGGAGGUUAAGCGUGACGUGAAAUGUAGCCGCUCAACGGCUGAGUUGCGUCGCGAACUGGCUUUCUUGAGUGGGUACGACGGAGGCGGAAUUCGUGGUGUAGCGGUGAAAUGCUUAGAUAUCACGAAGAACCCCGAUUGCGAAGGCAGCCUCCGAGUCCCUUACUGACGCUAAAGCUCGAAGGUGCGGGUAUCGAACAGGAUUAGAUACCCUGGUAGUCCGCACGGUAAACGAUGGAUGCCCGCUGUAUGCGACAGACAGUAUGCGGCCAAGCGAAAGCGUUAAGCAUCCCACCUGGGGAGUACGCCGGCAACGGUGAAACUCAAAGGAAUUGACGGGGGCCCGCACAAGCGGAGGAACAUGUGGUUUAAUUCGAUGAUACGCGAGGAACCUUACCCGGGCUUGAACUGCAGCCGAACGAUGGAGAGAUCCUGAGGUCCUUCGGGACGGCUGUGGAGGUGCUGCAUGGUUGUCGUCAGCUCGUGCCGUGAGGUGUCGGCUUAAGUGCCAUAACGAGCGCAACCCCUUUCGUCAGUUGCCAUCAGGUUAAGCUGGGCACUCUGGCGACACUGCCACCGUAAGGUGCGAGGAAGGUGGGGAUGACGUCAAAUCAGCACGGCCCUUACGUCCGGGGCUACACACGUGUUACAAUGGGGAGUACAGAGAGUCGAGUGCCGGCAACGUCACUCCAAUCACGAAAGCUCUCCUCAGUUCGGAUUGGGGUCUGCAACCCGACCCCAUGAAGCUGGAUUCGCUAGUAAUCGCGCAUCAGCCAUGGCGCGGUGAAUACGUUCCCGGGCCUUGUACACACCGCCCGU
rnacentral:rRNA from 1 species